rnacentral:rRNA from 1 species
ACUGCAGUCGAGCGAAUGGAUUGAGAGCUUGCUCUCAAGAAGUUAGCGGCGGACGGGUGAGUAACACGUGGGUAACCUGCCCAUAAGACUGGGAUAACUCCGGGAAACCGGGGCUAAUACCGGAUAACAUUUUGAACUGCAUGGUUCGAAAUUGAAAGGCGGCUUCGGCUGUCACUUAUGGAUGGACCCGCGUCGCAUUAGCUAGUUGGUGAGGUAACGGCUCACCAAGGCAACGAUGCGUAGCCGACCUGAGAGGGUGAUCGGCCACACUGGGACUGAGACACGGCCCAGACUCCUACGGGAGGCAGCAGUAGGGAAUCUUCCGCAAUGGACGAAAGUCUGACGGAGCAACGCCGCGUGAGUGAUGAAGGCUUUCGGGUCGUAAAACUCUGUUGUUAGGGAAGAACAAGUGCUAGUUGAAUAAGCUGGCACCUUGACGGUACCUAACCAGAAAGCCACGGCUAACUACGUGCCAGCAGCCGCGGUAAUACGUAGGUGGCAAGCGUUAUCCGGAAUUAUUGGGCGUAAAGCGCGCGCAGGUGGUUUCUUAAGUCUGAUGUGAAAGCCCACGGCUCAACCGUGGAGGGUCAUUGGAAACUGGGAGACUUGAGUGCAGAAGAGGAAAGUGGAAUUCCAUGUGUAGCGGUGAAAUGCGUAGAGAUAUGGAGGAACACCAGUGGCGAAGGCGACUUUCUGGUCUGUAACUGACACUGAGGCGCGAAAGCGUGGGAGAGCAAACAGGAUUAGAUACCCUGGUAGUCCACGCCGUAAACGAUGAGUGCUAAGUGUUAGAGGGUUUCCGCCCUUUAGUGCUGAAGUUAACGCAUUAAGCACUC